UACGGAGGGUGCAAGCGUUAUCCGGAUCUACUGGGUUUAAAGGAUGUGUAGGCGGACUUUUAAGUCAGCGGUGAAAUCUCCGGGCUCAACCCGGAAACUGCCAUUGAUACUAUUGGUCUUGAAUGUUGUUGAGGUGGGCGGAACGGGUCAUGUAGCGGUGAAAUGCAUAGAUAUGACCCGGAACACCGAUUGCGAAGGCAGCCCACUAAGCAACGAUUGACGCUGAGGCACGAAAGCGUGGGGAUCAAACAGG
rnacentral:rRNA from 1 species